rnacentral:misc_RNA from 1 species
AACUCUAGCUUUGAGAGCAGUUUUGAGGAUGAGAGAUCUGUCACUCCUACAUUCAACAGCAGCAACAACUUGGUGGAAGGGGGAGAGGAAACCACAAAAGUCAGCAUCGAGCCCAAGAACCUCAUGGAUAUGUUUGAUGCCACAAGUGAUGAAGACUAGGAAGGUUGCUAAAAGUACAUGUAAAUGUAUGAAGAAUUCCACAAGUGUACACUGUAGCAAAUUUGUUUCAGCCUUCAGUGUCUGUGUUUUAUAUACUGUAUGUGUUCAACCAGCACAAACUGCCUUAACCUUUUCACCUAGUUGUGUUCAAGAAAAUGAUGUGAAACAGUGGAAGAAUGAGAUGAAUGGGAAAGCAAACGCUGUAUUAGUGCUUUAAUAUACUGUAUCUGUUUUACAUUUUCUUUAAAUAUUAUUUUAGGAACCACAAGACUUGUGUGUAAAAAAAAAUAUUUACAUGUAUUUUGUUUCUAAUGUAAUAAUUUAUUUUUGAAAAAUCAUGGCCACUUCUCAUUUUCCAGAACUUCCAAGGGGUUUAAUUAUUGAUGUAUUAUUUCGUACAUGCAUAGUUCUGAAGAGAAUCAUCAGAUAUGGAAAUUCUUGCCAAUUCCAUUAUUUCACCAAGUAUUAUUAAGAUCACUUAGUUCAUUUCACAAAUAUCAUGUACUGAUAUUAUAAACCAUGCUGCCAUACACGAUCUACACUCAGGCUAACCCCAAAAGGUGCUUGGAUAGGUAUCAAGUUUUAUUCAUUGGGCCACCAAUUGUGUUUCAUUCUUUUUGCUGCAUAUACACCUGAGCAAAACCUACUUAAAACUACAACAGAUGUGUUUUGUUUGGAAAUUACUUGGAAAGAAUGUAGAAAAGUAUUUGUUCAUCUGAAGUUUUUUGUUUCUAUAUCUCUUUUAAAUGUAAAUUAAUUAUGUACGGAGAUGGGAACUAACAAAAUGUGAAUAAUUCUGUUGAAGAAAUGUCUGUUCAAACUGAACAUAAGAAAAUGUGCUUUGUUAUCAUUUACAUAAUUUGUUGCUUCUGUUAUUUUUUGUUACUCUGUCUUGACUAUGAGUUGGAUUAUCACAAGAUAUGUCUAACGUGACUAGUUUUGUUAAUUGUCCUGCAAAUCCACUGCGUGUUUGUGUAAUAUGUUUUGCCAUUUGCAUAGCUUUUGUAAGUUUAUGAACCUUUAUAAAUCUUUUCUUUUUGGAAUUAUUGUCAAAAAUUUUUGUAAGUUACAUCUGUUUUAUUUUUUCAAAGUCCAAGUUGUCACAAAAAUGAUUUACAGUAUAAACUCAAGGUCACUGAUAUUUGACCACUUUAAAUUAUGCAAAAAUGACCUUUUGUACUCAGUGCUUUUAGGGUGGAAUAAAGCCUAUACACCAGC